CCCAGAACGCUCUUAAUUUGCGGUGAGCUGUCAAAACUUUGCGUGAAUACAACUUCGACAGACACCAAGUGUUGCAAUUUAUAGACUUUCUAUUUUAAAGAUUGAAAUUUUUCACUAAAUAACUGUUAUUUAUCAAGGCAGUUGCUCUUUAAUCGACCGAAGAUAAAGUCCAUUUCUGUCACCGUUGUCUCUAAAGUUCUCAAUCAAUCACUAACACUCAUUCAGUGAUUGAGCCUACCUGAAAUCUGGAAUGAGCAUUUUCGCAUUUCGAAAAAAGAUUUCGAAAUGUCAACCUAAGGGAACCUUCACUGACGACGCUACAUUGGUACGUCUACUGAAACAAGUCGACAUAUAUUCUCUAUUAAAUUUGUCCAAUGAAUUUACCGUACCAGAAGAUCUCUUAAUUUUAUAUGAUUCCAUUAGAAAUCCAUUUGUAAAUUAAAUGUGAUACAAAAAUUUUAACGAAACGCACAAUGAAAUAAUAAUUAUCGGAUUUUCACAUCCAUUUUAUUUGAAAUUCAUUUACGUGUAACAUGUGUGGUAAAAUUUAAAUUUACAGGCAAUAUUGCGGAAUACAUUUCAUAAAGUAAAUAUAUAAAAUCGUCAUGUAUCGAAACCAACAUAUAAAUCUUAUUGAUAAAUCCAAUAAAAAACACACGUCGCCGUGACUUUGGACUUUUUGUCAGUUUAACUUGUGAAGUUUUGUUUUGACUUUUGAAUUUGGCAUCGAAUAAUCCAGAUUGUUAUACAAAAUGGCUACAUCACGAAAAGACGGCGUCUUAUUGAGCGAUUGGAUGGUUAUUUCCUUAUCUCCAAUGAUCACACCGGAGAAACUGGCAUUAUCAAAUCGUGACAUCGGGCAAACAACAAUAGACCAUUGGAACUCGGAUCAAGUGGCCAACGUAGAACCGGUAAUUUCUUUUUUAUUAAUCAUUUGUCAGGAAGUUGGUAGUGAAAUUUCUCGAAAAACCUGCAUUAUUCCGAUUAGAG